rnacentral:rRNA from 1 species
UAGCGUAUAUUAAAGUUGUUGCAGUUAAAAAGCUCGUAGUUGAAUUUCGGGAUCAAUACGUCGGUCGUGCCUUCGGUACGUACUGUCGUCAUUGGUUUCUCCCUUCUGACGAACCAUGAUGUCAUUAAUUUGGUGUUAUGGGGAGUUAGGACUGUUACUUUGAAAAAAUUAGAGUGUUUAAAGCAGGCCA